rnacentral:rRNA from 1 species
GAGUUUGAUUAUGGCUCAGGAUGAACGCUGGCGGCAUGCCUAACACAUGCAAGUUGAACGAGAAGUUCUGGAGGGAGUCUUCGGACGAACGAAGGAAUGGAAAGUAGCGAACGGGUGAGUAACGCGUGGGCAACCAACCUUACACAGGGGGAUAACGCAGAGAAAUUUGCGCUAAUACCGCAUAAGCGCACAGUACCGCAUGGUACCGUGUGAAAAACUCCGGUGGUGUAAGACGGGCCCGCGUCUGAUUAGUUAGUUGGUGAGGUAAAAGCUCACCAAGGCGACGAUCAGUAGCCGACCUGAGAGGGUGAUCGGCCACAUUGGGACUGAGACACGGCCCAAACUCCUACGGGAGGCAGCAGUGGGGGAUAUUGCACAAUGGAGGGAACUCUGAUGCAGCAAUGCCGCGUGAAGGAAGACGGUUUUCGGAUUGUAAACUUCUAUCAGCAGGGAAGA